GAUUACAAAAUACCAAUCGCAAAAAAAAAUCGGUUCGUCUGAUUCUUGGAGAGUAUCUAGAGAGAAAAGUGACCUGUUUCUUGGAAUAUUGAGUUAGCAAAGUUGAAACUUGUGGGUUUUGGAAUAGUAUGGCUUUCUUUCUUACACUGUUGAAUGCUUUUUGAGUGAACAUUUUCCCCGUAAUGGUUUAAAUAUCUUGACCAUACAUUUAAUCUCCGCCUCAUCCAAAAACGUAUUCCUUGCAAAUCUUUCUGCUGCUGAAAAAUAGUUUUCGGACGGUCAAAAAGAGGUCAGAACCCAAACCAUGUCAAAACCAAGGUGAGUUUGUGUUUUGCUUUGCUGAACGCGAUGUGUUACUCUGGUGCAUAUAUACAUACUUACGUUGACAGGUUUAUAUAUGAAUAACAUGAUUAAAGGAAGAUGAAUUAAAGCAAGUAAUAAUGACAACUUGUAACUAUGCAAGAUUUUGGAGUGUGCAUUCAAGAUUUGAGACUUAUGUUUUGCAGGUAUCUCAAAUAUAGAAUUAAAAAGACGAGUGAGUAAAAUCUCUCUAAGAUUUUGUCUUGUGUAUAUUAUUAUUUUUAAAGCACGGAUAUUAGAGGUUGGCAACGAAAUGAAAGAUUAGGGGUGUUUAUCUGUUCGGUUUGAAAGUUAAAGGAAUAUUGGAUUUUAAUAAUAGCUAUUCGCCGUGGCUGCCAACAGUCCCAACUUCAAAAAUAACCACUGACAGUCCCAGCUAUUAACAUGUUGGCCUCCAAUGGACACUGACUAACAGAACUCUAACGCCGUUAGUCUUUGGUCGUCGGAAAAACGUUUUUGGCCGGAAAACUAAAUUUUUUUUGUCCCAAAACUCUUUGUAAUCCUCUUACGGACUUUUAAGAACUUUUUUCUAGUAAAAGCUCCAAUUAUUGAAGUCGCCGGAAAACUUCUUUUGGCCGGAAAACUCAACGUUUUUUAAUUUUUAAAUUUUGGCAUGAUGUUUCUUUCAUGAUGACAUGGUUUGUACAUUAAUAUUAAGAAAGA
rnacentral:lncRNA from 1 species